rnacentral:lncRNA from 1 species
CCUUUCCUGUUGCCUGCCAUCCCUGCUGCGAGCAGGGACAAGCUGGGUGCUCACUCAUGGCAUCUUAUCUGUUGCAGAUAGUCCACUGUGUGCAGAGGCAUGGGAGUUGUCAUGUUGGGAACAUGCUAGACCUCAGUAUCCUUGAGGGAUGCUGCCUUGGGUCUGGAAACUGUUAGAGGAAACCCCAAGAGGUGCAGGCACUGAGCCUCUCAGGACAAUGACCUGGGGUCCCAGCUCCCCUGGAGGGGCCUCCUCAUGGCCAGGCCAUCCAGUGGCCAUCCUCCGUGUCCUCCCGCCUCCUCCUGGUGUGACUUCUGAAAACCAAGAAUUUGUUCCUGUUGACUUUUUCUGUGCUAUGGACCAUUGUCCUCUCACCCACUCAAUAAAUCUUGAAACAUGC